AUGAACCUCGAUCUGGAGCUGGCCAGGACGGAGCUGCAGGAGGUCAGAGACGGUGCCGCAGAAAAACUGAAAGAAGCUCUGGCGAAGAAGGAUCAGGACUUGGCUGCUGCCCGUAAGGAGGCUGAUGACAAGACCGCUCUGGCCGCGCAGAAGCUGGCUUCGGUCGACCAAUUAGAAGGGGAGAACACCAAGUUGAAGACCGAUCUGAAGGAAGCCAACAGGGAGUGUUCGCGUUGGAAGAAGGAGCACCUCACCCUGAGCGAGAAGAUGGAAAGCAUCGCUCGCAGGAGAGACGACCUGGAAAGCUACUUGAGGAGCUUUGCCAAGAAGCUGUACAUCAAGCUCGAAGAACUUUGCCAGAACUUCGAAGAGGAGACCGGGCGGAUCGAAACAGGUUUGGAUCCAAUCAACUCUCCGGUGCAAGACGAAGCUGCCAUGAACCUGCUCCGACUGGAAUCCCGCGUUGACGGCGUCGUGGAUUACUUGGCUCGACUGAAGGUUGCCAUGACGCGGAUCGACCCGACGCUUUGGCCAGAGUCCACGCUCCAGAACGAUCUCAAGUCUCUGAUGACUCGACUCAACGGAAUCCCUGACCGAGUGCAAGAGUGGAAGAAGUCUUCAGCUCGGUGUGGUGCCGACGUGGCUCUGUCUCUGGUCCGCGUCCAUUGCAAGGAGGUGCGGCAGGAGAAGCUGGCCGCCAUCCAAGUUGCCAACACGAGGAAGCACAACUUCCAGGACUUCAUGGAGACAUUUAUUGCUGCUGCUACCCGCAUCGCAGAUGAGAUCGACUUGGAUGAGUUUGUCGCCCCUGCCAGUCCUCCUCCUCCCGAGGAAUGA
rnacentral:rRNA from 1 species